rnacentral:rRNA from 1 species
ACGCUCGACACCUACGAGAGGCAGCAGUGGGGAAUAUUGGGCAAUGGGCGCAAGCCUGACCCAGCAACGCCGCGUGAAGGAAGAAGGCUUUCGGGUUGUAAACUUCUUUUGUCAGGGAACAGUAGAAGAGGGUACCUGACGAAUAAGCCACGGCUAACUACGUGCCAGCAGCCGCGGUAAUCUGAGCGGGCUGGCAAGGC